rnacentral:lncRNA from 1 species
CUUACUGGUAUAGUUAUCAAGGCUGAGAAUUUAAUGUUGAAAUUCAUGAAUAUGUUGAACCUCACAAGUACAUGGGCCCAGAGUAGGAAAACAGAAUUUUAUUUACUGAUAAUAGCAUUUAACAAUUAAGAACUGCAAUCAGACAGAGAGAUUGGGAUUUGUAUAAUUAGACAAAAUAUUUUAAUACAAACACUCCUCUGGACAGUUCUUUACCUUAUCCUGGGGAAGAGCUACCCUUGAUAGCCCUGAGCUCCCCCUCCUUGUCCUGAGCUCCCUGAGUCCCCUGAGUCCUCUGCUGAUUCUGAGAUCCCCCUGCUGGUCCUCAGAUCCUUGCUGGUUCUCAGCUCCACCUGGUGGUCCUUAGAUCCCCAUGGUGGUCUUGAGCUUCCCCUGCAGGCAGGUGAGUGACUGGGCUCACACUGAGUUCCCUCACUGGGUGUCUCCCACUGGAAUACACAGCCAUAUCCUCAGGUUUUAAGCUGUUGAGUUCUAAUGAUACCUGGCUCUUGGAAAUGUCCCUGGUGAUGUUGACUCUCAACAGUAUUGAUUUCAAUCCCUGCAGGUGCAAUUGGGAAGGACAUCGGGGGAAAAGAACCAGCAUAUGCUCAGGUCCAUCAGGGAGUCCUCAGGACCAGCAGGGGGUUCAGGAACAGGUGUGUAGUGGUAUGUGCUUCCACCACUAAAUGUUCUUCUAUCAUACUCCAGGCCCUUCCCAGGAUCUUGGCAGAUCCAACUCAGACCAUAGGUGGGAAGUAAGAAUCCAGUGAUAGCACAGGUGAGGGACAGGGUGUGCAAGAGGUUCACCAGGCCAGGUCUCAACUCCUGGGCUGCACUUGGGACAUGACACCUGGUACAAGAAACAUCACCUCUUGUUAAUCACACUAGCACCUGCAUAACCACAACCUUCUCAUGAAAUCCUUGUACAUUCUCAAAGUGAGGUGUCACCAGGCAGAGGAGCAGCACCAGAACCUCCAGGCUGCAAUGAAGAACUAAUGAGAAGGAGACGGGGGCUGCUCAGCCAAGGCUCCUCUUUCAGCUUGAGAUUAGGAGCUGCUUUGCAUGAGGGAGUGCUGGGAG